rnacentral:tRNA from 1 species
UAGAAAAGUAUUUAAAAAUUAUAAAAUUUGGUUUGCAACUAUAGAUUGGACUUAUACCCUUUUCUAU